GACGAACGCUGGCGGCGUGCUUAACACAUGCAAGUCGAACGGAAAGGCCCUGCUUGCAGGGUACUCGAGUGGCGAACGGGUGAGUAACACGUGGGUGAUCUGCCCUGCACUUCGGGAUAAGCCUGGGAAACUGGGUCUAAUACCGGAUAGGAGCCAUUUUUAGUGUGAUGGUUGGAAAGUUUUUUCGGUGUAGGAUGAGCUCGCGGCCUAUCAGCUUGUUGGUGGGGUAAUGGCCUACCAAGGCGGCGACGGGUAGCCGGCCUGAGAGGGUGGACGGCCACAUUGGGACUGAGAGACGGCCCAGACGCCUACGGGAGGCAGCAGUGGGGAAUAUUGCACAAGGGGCGCAAGCCUGAUGCAGCGACGCCGCGUGGGGGAUGACGGCCUUCGGGUUGGAAACUCCUUUCGCGAGGGACGAAGCUUUUUGUGACGGUACCUAGAGAAGAAGCACCGGCUAACUACGUG
rnacentral:rRNA from 1 species